AAUUUAUUCUUCAUAUUUCAUAUGUAUAAAAACCCACUCAUUAAAUAUUAACUAAAUUUUUUUUUUACCACCUAUUGGGCUUAGUGCGUAUUAUUAGCGACUGCGGUAUAAACGUAGUGUAUUAUACGACUCUUUCUUGGCUCUUUUUAAAUUACCCAUUAUAAUAUUAUUUCGCGUCGUGUUACAUGAACCAUAAAACAAAAUCAAUAAGAACUCGUUAUAAAGACAAUAUAGUAUACAAUGGAGGAAUAUAUAAUUACACCGCAACAGAAUAUUAAUUAUAAUGAUUAUUAAAUAGUGUCACUAUAUUUUCUGUUUUUACUCAGCGAUAAUAAAUGGACUUGUGGUGUACUCCCGACCACAAAUAUAUCGUCGUGCACACAUUUUUAUUAUUAUGACUGAUUUCCUUGUACCGCAAUCAAGUAAUAUUUUAAUAUUAUGUUCCUAUAUUUCAUAUUGUAUUAAACGAUUUUUUUUUUUCUAAAGAC